rnacentral:rRNA from 1 species
GGCGGCGUGCAUGAGACAUGCGAGUCGAACGGACGAUCAGGGCUUGCUCUGAUCGUUAGUGGCGGACGGCUGAGUAACGCGUAGGUGACCUGCCCCGAAGUGGGGAAUAACUGCCCGAAAGGGUGGCUAAUACCGCAUGUGGUGGUGUGUUCAAUCACACCAGUAAAGCCGCAAGGCGCUUCGGGAGGGGCCUGCGUCCGAUUAGCUCGUUGGUGGGGUAACGGCUCACCAAGGCGACGAUCGGUAGGUGGUCUGAGAGGACGAUCACCCAGACUGGGACUGAGACACGGCCCAGACUCCUACGGGAGGCAGCAGUCGGGAAUUUUGCGCAAUGGACGAAAGUCUGACGCAGCAACGCCGCGUGAGGGAUGAAGGCCUUCGGGUUGUAAACCUCUUUUAUCAGGGAAGAUAAUGACGGUACCUGAUGAAUAAGUCACGGCUAACUACGUGCCAGCAGCCGCGGUAAUACGUAGGUGACAAGCGUUGUCCGGAUUUACUGGGCGUAAAGA